AGAUUGAACGCUGGCGGCAGGCCUAACACAUGCAAGUCGAGCGGUAGAGAGGUGCUUGCACCUCUUGAGAGCGGCGGACGGGUGAGUAAUGCCUAGGAAUCUGCCUAGUGGUGGGGGAUAACGUUCGGAAACGGACGCUAAUACCGCAUACGUCCUACGGGAGAAAGCGGGGGACCUUCGGGCCUCGCGCCAUUAGAUGAGCCUAGGUCGGAUUAGCUAGUUGGUGAGGUAAUGGCUCACCAAGGCGACGAUCCGUAACUGGUCUGAGAGGAUGAUCAGUCACACUGGAACUGAGACACGGUCCAGACUCCUACGGGAGCAGCAGUGGGAAUAUUGGACAAUGGGCGAAAGCCUGAUCCAGCCAUGCCGCGUGUGUAGAAG
rnacentral:rRNA from 1 species